UGCUUACACAUGCAAGUCGAACGAUGACGGUGGUGCUUGCACCGCCUGAUUAGUGGCGAACGGGUGAGUAACACGUGAGUAACCUGCCCUCCACUUCGGGAUAACCUCGGGAAAUCGUGGCUAAUACCGGAUAUGAGCACUCAUCGCAUGGUGGGUGUUGGAAAGAUUUAUCGGUGGGGGAUGGACUCGCGGCCUAUCAGUUUGUUGGUGAGGUGAUGGCUCACCAAGACGAUGACGGGUAGCCGGCCUGAGAGGGCGACCGGCCACACUGGGACUGAAACACGGCCCAGACUCCUACGGGAGGCAGCAGUGGGGAAUAUUGCACAAUGGGCGAAAGCCUGAUGCAGCGACGCCGCGUGGGGGAUGACGGCCUUCGGGUUGUAAACCCCUUUCAGUAGGGAAGAAGCGAGAGUGACGGUACCUGCAGAAGAAUCGCCGGCUAACUACGUGCCAGCAGCCGCGGUAAUACGUAGGGCGCAAGCGUUGUCCGGAAUUAUUGGGCGUAAAGAGCUUGUAGGUGGCUUGUCCCGUCCGCCAAAAAAACCCAAGGCUCACCCUCGCGCGUGGGGGGGGGUACCGGAAUGUUUUAG
rnacentral:rRNA from 1 species